GUUCGGGCCGGGGCCGGGCCACAGUGAUUUCCAAAGGAGAUUGUCACUUGAGCUACUGCUGUAAGUUUCUGAAGAGUCUUUCUAAUUGGUCCAAAACUUGGAGGAGUUGGUGUGAGAACUGGACUUUGUGCUGUCAACAUUCUGAGUGUUGAGCCAGUGCUAAAUCCGUGCAACUGUAUGGGAAUGAAAUAAAUGACAUGAUUUAAACAAGGAAAUACUCCUGGCUGAGGCAUUUUAUCUGCACAAAUGCACACUAGGAGAGGAAGAGCAAAUCAAGUACAAGCUCCCAGUAGUUACAGAAGAAUGAAUGGAAGUAACUUCCUGUUUAGGCUGGAAAUUAGGAGAACAUUUGUACCCAUCAGAAGGGUGUUGAACUGGAGCAGCUGCCUAGUGACAACAGACGAGUGGAGAAGUGAAAGCCCAAAUUAAAGGCUUUUAGUGUGGAGUUUUUUGGAUGUUGGGGUCUUCAGAAGUAGAUCUUGAGUCCCACGGGCAAUGCAGGCAGCUUCCCAGGGGAGCAUCUCUGUCCCGUGCCAGGGACCUGCUGCCCUGGUCCCACAGAGUGAUUUGGGGGGUACCUGCUGGCCCAGCAGAGUUUCGGGAAAUGCCUCAAUGCUUGUUGGAUUUGAAUGGCAUUUGGGUCAAACUGAGUUUCUCCUCUGAGGGAUGGAGUCUUGAGCUCUCACAGGUUUUGCUUGAACAUGUCUUUCGUCUGUCCCCCAGCCCAAAAACCCCCAGCAGAUCCCUGCUCCUCCCUCUCUGUGUCUCCCACAGCUGUGAUCCUCAGAGCUUUUCCCUUACACUAAAAGAACUGGAAAUUGGCUGGGGUUUAUUCCCUCUUGGCGACAAAAUUGUCUCCUAUUGUGCAGCUCAGGGGGAAAGGAACCUCUUCCUCCCUUCAGUGUGCUGCAACAAAGUGUUUUGUUCGUCUUUGUGAAGAACUAGGAAGAAACACUUCUUUUUAAGCUGAGGGAGCCCAAUUCAAUUCCCUUAUCAUUUUGAGCAAAAUAACCAAGUUAUUUAUGUUGAAAGUCACUCCAAAAUUUUGAAGAGACCUUUUUAGAAAAUAUUUCUCUUGGUGACUGAUUACGAGUGGGUAUGGGAAGAAACUCUUUGCCUUGAACCACUCAAAGCAGUAAUUUCUUCCCAAAGAGUAGAUGUAAUUUCAUUUGCUGGGUGAAAAAAAAUAAGUAGUAGUGGACCAAAGGAGCUUCAAGCUGAUCUCCAUUUGCUGUCAAUGACUGAAUUAAAUGCACAGGGUUCCUAUCAGCUGUGCCCGACAAAACAUUGCUUUUGGGUUAUGGAGGUUUUGUCAGAAAUCUUUGUAGCAUGAACAGUUCAUGGACUUAUCUCUGCUGGCUUCAGCCAUUCCUGCUGUCCAUCAUAUCUUGCUAUUAUGAGGAAGCUCUUUUCAUUAUGUUGCCUUUUAAUUCAGAUAUCUGAGCCUUUUUCUACUUCUGGUCCCAGUUUUCAAGAGGACAAACAUUUUCUUAUCUGUGAGUGUAUUCAGUGGUGGCCACACAAGUGAAGGCAAGGAGCUGGCAGGUGAUAAUUUAUGAAACUUUCUAUAAUGGGAAAACCUCAGCAUUCAAUUUCCAUCUCCUUAGAAAUCUUUAUUUCAUUUCUUGUCCCUUGUGCACUUUGUUGCUGGUCUGAGUUUAGUGCUUGGAAAUGCAAUUCUAUGGAUCCCAAUUCUUUUGAGAGAGAAUCAUCUUGUACACAAAGCCAAAUAAAUUGAACUUUUCAAUAUCAGAGCAGUUUGACAUCCAGGCUUGGGGACCUGGCCGUGGUUAGUGCCUGACCAGCCUCAGCACACAGAGUUUGUCUGAUUUAGGUGAAAUUUCAUUCAUUGGAGACAAAGUAAAAUUGCCUCUUAUUUGCUCAGCACUAAAAAUCCAUCUGAAGCUGAUUGCCAAGAAUUGCUGCUGAGUGAUGGGAUUAACCCCUGCAAUGGCACCAUGAAAUGAGAGACUGGGAGAGGAAUAUUAAACAAUGGCAUUUCCAGCCAUGUGCAGGCCCUGGUCUUCUGCUCUUGGCUUGGUGCUGUCAAAGGGGCUGCUUUGGAUGGUUCUAGAGGCACUAAUCUGGGCAGUGAAAUGCACCUCAGGCACCAAUUGCAUCUCUGGUGUCUGCAAGUGCCUUUAUCUCCCUUCAUGCU